rnacentral:rRNA from 1 species
UACGAAGGGGGCUAGCGUUGUUCGGAAUCACUGGGCGUAAAGGGCGCGUAGGCGGCCGAUCAAGUCGGGGGUGAAAGCCUGUGGCUCAACCACAGAAUUGCCUUCGAUACUGUUUGGCUUGAGACCGGAAGAGGUUAGUGGAACUGCGAGUGUAGAGGUGAAAUUCGUAGAUAUUCGGAAGAACACCAGUGGCGAAGGCGACUCACUGGACAGGUAUUGACGCUGAGGUGCGAAAGCGUGGGGAGCAAACAGG